AUCCUGCCAGUCUGCUGUUGUCAAAUCACCCCAUGCUAAGAAUACCUCAAGUUUCUGAAGGGAAAGUCAUUGUUUCUGGUGUCUACGGAGCUGCACCCCUGCACCCCACACACGGAAGGCGUGACAAUUAUUGUUCCAGGGGGAGUGAUUCACUGGUUAAGGGAAGCCACAGGCAAAGGAAAGUCUCUGUUAAGAGCCGUGGUGUUACAUCUACCUGCUUGACUUUCUGCCCUUGGCUAUCCCAGGAUGGACUGAACUUGUAAACUCAGAGCAUAUCUGUGGACUCAGGACAUACCUGCUUUACAAGGGAAAGCAUCUCAGGUGAAUGGGUGUGCAUAUGUAUCUACCUGUGUUGUGCCCACUUUGACUCUGUCCCAAGGAUACCAACAACUGAGGCUCUGUUUCCCCCUCACCUGGCCUCUAUCUUGGGCCUUGGCAACUCUGUUUUAGUUGAGCUUCACUGCAGUGCCACACCUUGCGUUUCCUCCUCCAGUCUCCUCUCAGCAAAGAGUCACUGUGUUUGCCUGAACCCCUUCCCCAAAUGCCUGUUUGCUAGAUGGCCUCCAGGUCUUGCGCAUCCCCAUCUGCUCAACGUUAUGCCCAUCAGAUCUUGGUUAAGUCAGUUGGUUUGCCUAAUUUAUAGAUGAUGUCGCCGUCUAAGGCCAACAUGGAGGGCCAGAGGGAACCAGCCUUCAGAAAGCUCCUCCCGUCUUCUGUCUACUUUAGUAAUUCUUAAAUAGCUUCUGUGAACAACCAGCAUGCUCAUAUUAAAUUAAAAUGUGAAUGUCUAUUUUGGAGGAAUUUUGUGUGUUCUGCCUCCCCAGCUCCUGCUACAAGCUCAUCAUCAUACUCUAUAGCUCUGCUUAUUUUGUUGAACUUCCCUUUCACAGAUGGAGAUAUUGAAAGAAUUAUUGAUCACGAAAUACUGAGCAAUCAGGCCUUCCUUCCCACUGUGUGGAAAUACAUCUUUUCAAAGAAUCACCUAAUCACAGUCAUUUGGUCAGAACAAAUUUAUAAUUAUUUUCUUAUUAACGUGAAAGGAGUAACACUGGUAAAUUUUCUAGGUGAAUGAAAGUAAUUCAAUAAGUCAAUUUAAUCUUUCUGUUUGGUUGCACUUUUGGUAAGUUUUAUAGAUCCUUAUUCCUUUUGACAUGAGUACUUUGUUACUUCCGUGAUGGUUAAUUUUGUGUGUCAGCUUGACUGGGCUAAAGGAUGCUCUUAUAGUUGGUAAAACAUUCUGUUUAGAUGUGUCUGCGAGGGAGUUUCUGAAAGAGAUGAGCAUUUGAAUCAAUAGACUAAUGAGGAAGAUGGCCCUCCCCAGUGUGGGUGGGCCUCAUCUGAGUAGUUGAGGGCCUGAAUAGAACAGAAAGGGAAAGGAUAGGCAAAUUUAUUAUUAUUUAUUAUUUAUUUUUUCUUGCUCAAGCUGAACUCGGGCAUGUGUCUUCUCCUGACUUAGACAUCAGUGUUCCUAGGGCUUAGGUCUUUGGACUCAGAUUAGAUUACACCCCUGGCUUUGGUGGCUAUCCAAGAUGCAGAAGAAGAUCAUGAGCCCUCCUGGCCUCCAUAAUUAUGCCAGCAAAUUCCUAUAAUAAAUCUGUGUAUGUGUGUGUCUAUAUAAUUAUAACAACAUAUUAUGUAAUUAUACAACACAUAUUUAUAUUUGUUUAAUAUAUAACAUAUACAAUAUAAUAUCCCCCCCUCCCCAUUUUUAUUUCUGUUUCCUCACAAGGAAACUCAGUAUUUCGGUGACGAUGAUACCACUUUAAACACAUGGAAUUAUUGACAUGAAACACUUUUUUUUUCUAUUGCAAUUUAAAAAUAUAUAUAAAGACACCUUUUAAGGUCAUAAAUUGACCUCAUUAACCCAUUCUAAUGCCACCAUUCACCAUUUGGGGGGUGCCUUCUAAGAACCAGCUGGGCUCCUCUUCCCUUAGAAGCAAGGAGUCAGUACUCUUCAGGUAAGUUAUCUCAAGUACAACAAAGGCUACGGUAUUCAACAACAGCACCGGAUAACAAGGCUAAGUGGAUCAUAUAAGUAGAGUGUACCUGUAUGUGUUAAAAAGACUUCCUUUUAGUUUCUUCUAGGCUGUAGUAAGAAAUAAAAUGAUGCUAAUAUUCAUAAGUCACUUAAGCAGCUUUAAAGUUAAAUCAUUGUUUUGAACUCUCAUCUCAGAGCCAUACCUAUAGUCCGUUGAGUGAAUAGCAAGGAAGUCUAAUAAGAGAGAUCAAGAACACCUAAGUCUAUUUUAGCUACAUGAUAGGGUCAAGAGGGCAGGGGGCACAAAAAAUUGGUAAAAAUCUUACCUUUGAGGUAAAUGAGGUGAAUCUUGAAUGCCAUAUUGGGACACAUCAAUUUUCUUCGAUGAGUAAGGGUAAUAUACAGGAGUUUUAAAAUAGGAGAAAUGAGAUAGAGAAGUCUUUGGUGGUGGUGAUAUAAGGGUUUACCAAAGUGGCAGAAAGUUUUGGGGCAUUCAAGGAGUUAUUUUGGCCAGAGGUGUUGGAGGCUUGAGUUGGAAAAAUGGCAAUGGGAACAGCAGAAUGAGCUGGUAUUGAUGGGAUUUGAUGGUGAGCUGUACUAGGACAUUUGUCAAAAAGAAUAAAUAAAUGAUCCCACGGAGAUGCCUGGUAACUUGGUGGUUGGUGCCUUGCUAAAACAGACCAGAAAGGAAAACUGGCACAUGUGGAAUAUCCAUUGGGCCAUAUCUUGUGUGCAGAUGAAAAUAUGGUGUGGGUUUGAGGAGAGACCUCAGUCCUAGCAACACAGAUGAUUCUCAGCACCUUAGAAGUUGUUGAGAAUGUUCAGGAAAGGUUGAAAAAGAGAAAGAGAAGGCAGAAAGUGGGGGAAGGCAUCCCUCUAAGGGAGGAUAGAAGACAAUGUGAGAGUCAGAAGGAAGAUCUGAGAGGCCAGGGGGAAAUGAGAAAGUGGAGACUCAAAGGCUAAGAGCACAAGGGUUUCAAGGGGUGGAAGUGGGUUACAAUUAGAAAUAAGAAAAAACAAUUAUAGAGGAUGACAAUCAAAGAGAAGGUGUUGGGGAUCCCUGGGUGGCGCAGCGGUUUGGUGCCUGCCUUUGGCCCAGGGCGUGAUCCUGGAGACCCGGGAUUGAAUCCCACGUCGGGCUCCCGGUGCGUGGAGCCUGCUUCUUCCUCUGCCUGUGUCUCUGCCUCUCUCUUUCUCUCUCUGAUGACUAUCAUAA
rnacentral:lncRNA from 1 species